rnacentral:lncRNA from 1 species
UUUUUUUUUUUUUUUUUGGAGGUGUUUAUAUAUUUUGGAGAUUAAUCCCUUGUCAGUCACUUCAUCUGCAAAUAUUUUCUCCCAUUCUCUGUGUUGUCUUUUGUUUUGAUAAGGGUUUCCUUUGCUAUGCAAAAACUUUGAAGUUUAAUUAGGUCCCAUUUAUUUAUUUUUGUUUUUAUUGUCAUUACUCUAAUAGGUGGAUUUCAGAAGGUAUUGCUGUGGUUUAUGUCGGAGAAGUGUCUUUAUAAGUCUCUUACUAAGAACAAAGAUGCUACAGGGGAAUGAAGGCCUGGUAGUAAGCAGUUACUUCAGAGUAAUAUCUUUCUACCUUUUCAGAGACACCACCCCCAUAUGAAAGUAAAUUAAUUUCAAAAUGUACUCAACAUAAUCAACUGUACAUCUAUAUAUAUACAUAUAUAUGUAUAUAUAUAUACACUCUCAACACAAAGGUAGAAAUGCUUCCAGAUUAGCAUAAAAUAGCUAACCUUUUACAAAAAAUUCUUAUGUAUAUGUUUAUCAUUAUUUCGAAUUUGUCUAUGUGGAUAUCAAGCCUUGGAUUUAAGUCCUCAUUCUACUACUUAAAACCUGCAAGGUCAGAGUUCCCAAUGUGGCACAAGGGGAUCAGCAGCAUCUUUGCAGUGCCAGGACACAGGUUCGAUCCCCACCUGGCACAGUGGGUUAAAGUAUCUGGAGUUGCUACAGCUGCGAUGUAGGUGCAGCUGUGGCUCAGAUCUUAUCCCAGGCCUGGGAACGCCAUAUGGCAUGUGUUGGCAAAAAAAAACAAAAAAAACCCAAAAAAUACGAAAAACCGGUACAGUCAGUUAGUCUCUCUGAGCCUGUUUCCUCAUAUAUAAAAUAGGAAUAAUUAGAUUGGCAUUGUUUAACUCACACCAUACUUGUGAAUGUAAGAUAAGAAAGAACAGAAACUCUCUGUAAAUUGUAGACUGCAGAGUGAAUGUAUUAUAAUUUAAAAAUGUGGAGUUCCCUUGGUGCUGCAGCAGGUUAAAGAUCCAGCUGUUGUCACUGCAGUGGUUUGGGUCAUUGCUAUGAUGUGGAUUUGAUUCCUGGCCUGGAACUUCCACAUGCUGCAAGUGUAGCCAGAAAAGAAAAAAAGAAAAAAAAAAAUUUUAACUGCAUUUUUCCUCACGGCAAACCCAUUUUUAUAAUCAGAAUACUUAUUAAAAUGCAAAGAAGUCUUAAACCAUCUUUGAGCUCAGUGGUAAAUAGCCUUCUGGGACCAAUGGCCACUCUAAAAGAGUUGGAAAAUAGUGUGAUCAUCUUAAGAAAAAUCCUCCUUUUUUUUCUUCAAGCUCCACCCAUGGCAUGUAGAAGUUCCCAUGCCAGAGAUGAACCCAGGCCACUGCAAUAACAAUGUCAGAUCCUUAACCCACUAUGCCACAAGAGAAUUCCAGAAAAAUCCUCCUUUUAAAAGUGUUUGGGGAAUUCUCUUAUGGCAUAGUGCAUUAAGGAUCCAGUGGUGUCAUUACAGUGGCUCUGGUCACUGCUGUGGCUGUUGGGGAGGGGAGGGUUCCUGGCCUGGGAACUUCCACGUGCACAGCCAUGGCCAAAAAAAUACUUGUUCUGCAUUGUACAGCAUUGUUCAAACCACCCAUGGAAAAUUGCCCUUUUUAGUAGUUAAAAAUCAUAAAAAAAUCAUCAAUUCCAUAUGAAUCAACCUGUAUUCAUAUACAGGUUAUUAGAGUAUAGGCAAAUUCAUGUACUGUAUGAAUUUCAUUAGUAUGUAGGCAAAUUCUAUAUACUAAAUUAUUAGUAUAUAAGCAAUUAAUAUCGGCAAUUGCCUGUGUACUAAAUUCAUUUGUAUAUAGGCAAAUUCAUAUAUACUAAAUUAUGAGUAUAUAGGCAAUUUAUAUAGGCAAAACUCAGAAAGAUCCAAGCCCUAGCCACAGCAAUCAGACAAACAAAAGAAAAGAAGAGGUAAAACUGUCACCAUAUGCACAUGGCAUGAUGCUCUAUAUAGAAAACCCUAAGGGCUCCACAUAAAAACUACUCAAACUGCUAUGAAUUCAGCAAAGUAGCAGGACACAAGAUUCACAUUCAGAAAUAAAUUGCAUUUCUGUAUACUAACAAUGAAAUAUUAGAAAAAGAAUAUAAAAAUACAAUACCUUUUAAAAAUCACACCCCCAAAAAUUAAAUACCUAGGAAUAAACCUGACCAAGGAGAUAAAAGACUUAUAUACUGAGAACUUUAAAACAUUAAUCAAGGAAAUUAAAGAGGAUUCAAAGAAAUGGAAAGAUAUCCUAUGCUCCUGGAUUGGAAGAAUUAAUAUUCUUAAAAUAGCCAUGCUAUCCAAAGCAAUCUACAGAUUUAAUGCAAUCUUUAUCAAAAUACCCAUGAGAUUUUUCACAGAACUAGAAUAGACAACCCAAAAAAUUAUUUGAAACUGUAAAAGAUCCAGAAUUGACAAAGCAAUCCUAAGGAAGAAAAACCAAGCAGGAGGCAUAACUCCCAGACUUCAGACAGUAUUACAAACCUAUAGUAGUCAAGACAGUGUGGUACUGGUAAAAAACAGACAUACAGAGCAAUGGAACAGAAUAGAGAACCCAGAAAUUAGCCCAGAGACCUAUGGUCAAUUAAUCUUCAACAAAGGAGGCAAGAAUAAAGAAUGGGAAAAAGUCUCUUCAGCACGUGGUGCUGGGAAAACUGGACAGCUGCAUAUAAAUCAAUGAAACUAGAACACACCCUUACACCAUGCACAAAAAUAAACUAAAAAUGGCUUAAAGAUUUAAAUGUAAGACAAGACACCAAAAACUCCUAUGAGAGAACAUGGGCAAAACAUUCUCUGAUAUCAACCUUACAAAUAUUUUUUAGGUCAGUCUCCCAAGGCAAUACAAAUGAAAACAAAAAUAAAUCAAUGGAACCUAAUCAAACUUGUAAGCUUUUGCACAGCAAAGGAAACCAUAAGAAAAACCAAAAAGACAACCUAUGGAAUGGGAGAAAAUAGUUGCUAGCAAUGCAACCAACAAGGGCUUAAUCUCCAAAAUAUAUAAACAACUUGUACAGCUCAACCGCAAAAAAACCCCCAAUUACCCAAUUGAAAAAUGGGCGGAAGACCUGACUAGACAUUUUUUCAAAGACAUACAGAUGGCCAACAGACACUUUAAAAAAUGCUCGACAUCACAAAUUAUCAGAGAAAUGCAAGUCAAAACUACAAUGAGGUACCACCUCACACCAGUCAGAAUGACCAUCAUUAAUAAGUCUACAAAUAAUAAAUGCUAGAGAGGAUGUGGAGAAAAGGGAACCCUGCUACACUGUUGGUGGGAAUAUAAAUUGGUACAGUCUCUGUGGAAAUAAGCAUGGAGGUACCUCAGAAAAUUAAAAAUAGAAGUACCGUAUCAUCCAGCAUUCCCAUUCUUGGGCAUAUAUCCGGACAAAACUUUCAUUGAAAAAGACACAUGCACCCCUAUGUUCAUUGCAGCACUAUUCACUAUAGUCAAGACAUGGAGGAGUGCCUGUCAUGGCACAGUGGUUAACGAAUCCGACUAGGAACCAUGAGGUUUCGGGUUUGGUCCCUGCCUGCCCUUGCUCAGUGGGUUAAGGAUCCGGUGUUGCCGUGCGCUGUGGUAUAGGUCGCAGACGCAGCUCUCUCCUCCAGUCUUCCCAGCCCACCCCAAUGGGGCUGGUCUUGGCAACACGUUCUCUGGAAAGUAUGAAAAUUUAACUUCCCAGGGAUGUCAAUCAUUGCCCUGACCACCACACUGGGGGCGGGGGCUGCUCCGUCUAAAACAGCGAGGCCUUGGACUCACAGGUAGGAACCACCUCUUCCCUUCCUUGCCCUGCUACUUCAUAGUUUCCUUUAUGAUUUCUAGUUCAGUCUUUCUGCUUAAGAAUAUCCCCUGAUUUGGGAGUUCCCGUCAUAGGCUUCUAUGAAGGUUCUACUGUUUCUUCAAACUCGUUAUCAUAUGUCCAAACGGUUCCUUCAGUCUUUUCUCAAACUCCAGGCUAUAAACCUGAAAUUCAGUUCUCUCUUCUUUUCUACUCCACUCGCUACCUCAAAUCACCAGUCAAGUUCAAAUCAUUCUACCAACUCAAUGUUUUUCCCAUUUGUUGGGUUUCUUAUUGACUAGUCCAAGGCCUUUGCAGGUUCGCUUGAGCAUGCAGGCUUCAAGCUGCUAUUGCUAUCUCCAGGAUUGAUUUCUGACUUUCUGCUUAAAGGAUCAUGCUUUAUAUACUUUAGAUCUCCUAUAGCAUCCAAAAUAGGCUUUCAGAAAAUGUUCAUUGAAUGAAUAGCUGGGAUUAAGAAUUAGGAAGUGCAGAAAAAGUCAUAUAUGUGUGGAAGUUCUUUUAUAUGUCUGGUUCUAUACAUCAGCUCAUUUAAUCUUUACAACAACUCUUGGGGUUGAUGCAGACACAAGACAUUUAUUUUUGUUAAUUUUUUUUACUGUGAUGAUGUUGGUUUAUAAUAACAAGAUUUACUAAUCUUGUGUAUGUGCUGUGUGUCCUUACCUCUCCUCUAUGUCUUGGAAGAAUUUUCUCCCUUUCUACUCUGGUUCUAAGGUUUUUUCGUUUUUGUUUUUUGACAGCCUAACCAUUUAAAAGUAUGUAUUACUUAGAAGACUGAAGACUGAUGGGAAUUCUAUCCUGGAAAAAAAAUCUGAAGGGGAAAAAUGUCCAGCUGCUAAUAAUCUUCUUCUUGGGUCACUGAGCAUUCAAGUUAAAUUACGUGAUUUUGGCUCCAAAUCUAUGGGGUUGAGACAUUUUAAGAUCCAUCUUUGGAGAAACAUUAACUUUACAAAGGCUCUACUAAAUUUCAGAUAAUAGUACGGUUCUAAGGUUUUGUGAUUCAGGCCUAAGAGAAUGGAGAGGGAGAGUCUGCAUCAGUCCAGGCUGGAGGAGAGCAGGGUGGGAUGUUGGCUUGCAGAGUCUCUUUUGUUAUGGAGAAUGCAGGCUAAGGGGAAAUUGGAGAGAAUUUAAAAUUGAAAAUAAUAUUCAGAAUAAAGAACUAAAAGGAGGGCAAAAGAAGGUAGAAAUAAAACACUAGUAAGCAGACUAGGGGUCAGAAGGGUUGUGCUGUUUGGAGAAUAUGCUUUGAGGCACCUUUUAGAGAAUGAGAAAGAAGAAAAAGGGAGAUCCUAAGUAUUCCUGUCAGUGACAAAUUGCAUCUUUUAAAAAAAAUUAUUCUUGGAGUUUCCUUGUGUCACAGUGGGUUAAGGAUCCAGUGUAAUCACUGCUACGUCUAGGGUCGCUGCUAUGGUGCAGGUUCAAUCCCUGGCCCAAGAAUUUCCACAUGCCUCAGACAUGGCCAAAAAAUAAAAAUAAAAAA